UACGGGGGGGGGCAAGCGUUGUUCGGAAUUACUGGGCGUAAAGGGCUCGUAGGCGGCCAACUAAGUCGGAUGUGAAAUCCCCAGGCUUAACCUGGGAACUGCAUCCGAUACUGGAUGGCUUGAAUUCGGGAGAGGGAUGCAGAAUUCCAGGUGUAGCGGUGAAAUGCGCAGAUAUCAGGAGGAACACCAGUGGCGAAGGCGGUGCUCUGGGCCGGAACUGACGCUGAGGAGCGAAAGCGUGGGAGCAAACAGG
rnacentral:rRNA from 1 species